rnacentral:rRNA from 1 species
CAGAGGGGGCAAGCGUUGUUCGGAAUUACUGGGCGUAAAGGGCGCGUAGGCGGCCUGCUAAGUCGAACGUGAAAUCCCCGGGCUCAACCCGGGAACUGCGUCCGAGACUGGCAGGCUUGAAUCCGGGAGAGGGAUGUGGAAUUCCAGGUGUAGCGGUGAAAUGCGUAGAUAUCUGGAGGAACACCGGUGGCGAAGGCGGCAUCCUGGACCGGCAUUGACGCUGAGGCGCGAAAGCCAGGGGAGCAAACGGGAUUAGAUACCCCGGUAGUCCUGGCCCUAAACGAUGAAUGCUUGGUGUGGCGGGUAUCGAUCCCUGCCGUGCCGAAGCUAACGCAUUAAGCAUUCCGCCUGGGGAGUACGGUCGCAAGGCUG